GAAGGAGGAGGUUUGGGAUCCCAGUGCCAUGGAGGCUGGACAUGGAUCCCCAGGAAGAUGGAGGUCUGCCUUUCCCUUAUCCUCUGCUCUCUAUUCCUCCUAUACCUCCUCCCUACUCCCCUGACCAAUGCCCAAGGGAGCUGCAUGUCCUUGACUGCAGAUGGGUGAGGAAGGAAGAAAAAAGUCAGCCUGGGUGAUGGAUACAUUUGGAAAAUGUGUGAAGUAUGGAGCAGCUGUGGACCUCUCACCUCCAAGAAAGGCUAAGUUGAUGGUGUCUUCUAUCUUUUUUUGAGUCCUAAUUAAUCUUUAACAUUUUAUUCCAUGUACUUUUAAUUUUUUUAGUGUAUUGUUCUUCCCAUUUCAAUUGUUGUAGUUAUGAUGUAUACUGUUUUCCCUGGGGAUGCUGUUCCCCGUUCUGUCUUAUGCCCUCACCCCUCCUCUGCAGAGCCUAGCAUUGUGCUGACCAUUGAGUAGGUGCUCCACAAGUGGUGUUUGUUGUAAAAUGAAUUGACCUAAAAUCUAAUGAACAAGGAACUGCCUAACUCUGAUUUUGUUGAUUGUCACCUCUGCACUGCCUCAAAUUUUUGAGCCUGGGAAUGGCAUUCCCAAUUCUCCCAACUCUUUCACGUCUACAGUUGCUAUGAUUCCUCUCCCUCUCUGACUCUAACAUAGGAGAAAAAUCUUGGCCCUGCAGGCCCUACACUCAGGAGGAGCUGUCCUGUGGAGCAUGUCAGUGAAUCCAGAAGCCUCUGAGCAGAUCUCUCUGUUGUGCCAGUCUCUUCCAGGAGGCUUGAGCACCAGCAAUCUUUUCGUUCUCAUUUAAUGUUGGAAUCAAACGAGAUCCUGGGAAGUCAUUGGGCUGUUAACAUUAGCAGACUUCCUUUGAACUGAUAGAGCCUUGGGGAUGGGGAGAGAGGAGACAGUCUCUGAACCCUUACCCUCCCCUUCACCCCCUCAUCUUUUUGGUAUGGUGAUGCUUCGUUUAAUGGUAUAUAUUGUUUUCUGGUUUCAAGCAGAACCUGGUGAAAGAGGCACUUCCAUGGAGGUUGUUGUGCAAUAGAAAGGGGAGACUGUCUGUGAACCUGUGGAUUGCUGUGAUUUACAGACUGAAAAACAGGAUUUUUUGUGAGGCAAUUGGGGUUAAGUGACUUGCCCAGGGUCACACAGCUAAGAAGAAAAACAAAGUCAGGACAACUAUAACAUUCAGAAGAAAAAUACUUGUGGAUGAAGAUACCAUCUCUGAGAACAUUCCACUUACUAUAGGCUUGCUUUCUGGGGAAGCACAUCUAGUCUCCGAACAUUCAGAGGAAAAGCUACUUGUUGCAGGAGACACUGUCUCUGAGAACUUAACAGUUACUACAAAAUUACUUUCAGGGGAAUCACAUCUAAUCUUAAAACAUUCACUAGACAAGACAUUUGGGGUUGAAGACACUGUCUCUGAGAACAUUCCACUUACUAUAGGCUUGCUUUCUGGGGAAGUACAUCUAGUCUCUGAACACUGAGGAAAAAAUACUUGUGACAGGAGACACUGUCUCUGAGAACUUAACAGUUACUACAAAAUUACUUUCAGGGGAAAUACAUCUAUCUAAUCGUAAAACAUACACUAGACAAGACUUUUGGGGCUGGAGACACUGUCUCUGAGAACAUGCCGGUAACUAUAAAAUUGCUUUCUGCUGACACACAUCUAGUAUUAAAACAUUUUGUAGACAACACAUCCGGGGGCUGGAGACACUGUCUCUGAAAACAAAUCGGCGACCACAGGCUUACUCCCAAUGGAGUAUAGUCCUUCAAGACAAGACGCAAUCUUUAAUGAAAUCGAAGACUUUCAAACAUUCCUGAUGAAAAGACCCGAGCUGAAUAGAAAAUCACACACAAGACUCAAGAGGACCCAAAAAAGAAAAGAAAAACAAAGUCAGGACAACUAUAACAUUCAGAAGAAAAAUACUUGUGGAUGAAGAUACCAUCUCUGAGAACAUUCCACUUACUACAGGCUUCCUUUCUGGG